UACGUAGGGUGCGAGCGUUAAUCGGAAUUACUGGGCGUAAAGGGCGCGUAGGCGGCCUGCUAAGUCGAACGUGAAAUCCCCGGGCUCAACCCGGGAACUGCGUCCGAUACUGGCAGGCUUGAAUCCGGGAGAGGGAUGCGGAAUUCCAGGUGUAGCGGUGAAAUGCGUAGAUAUCUGGAGGAACACCGGUGGCGAAGGCGGCAUCCUGGACCGGCAUUGACGCUGAGGCGCGAAAGCCAGGGGAGCAAAGCGGGG
rnacentral:rRNA from 1 species